GUGCUCACUUUGGCAGCACAUACACUAAAACUGCAAUGAUACACAGAAGAUUAGCAUGGCCCCUGCACAAAGAUGACACACAAAUUCAUGAAGCAUUCCAUAUUUUU
ensembl:snRNA U6 U6 spliceosomal RNA